AGAGCUGUUUUUCUCUCUGUGGUGCUGGGGCUUGGUGAGAGGGUUAUCGGACACUAGGCCCACUUCAACCAUCUGCUAGCAGUGGAUGCUCAGUGUAAUUUCCAAUCUUGAGGACCAUCCCUUUGCCGUUUGGACCAUGACAUUAAAUCUCAGAUCUGCCCUGACAUUGAGAUGCAGCUGUGAGCUCCCCCCGAAGCACCAGCAGACCACUUCGAUUUCUGCUCUGAUGCUAUGGAGCACUGUUGGAGGAAAUCCAGGCACUAGGACCACCCUGACCAUUUCAGAGGGGAAAAGGAAUCUCAUCUUGCUUUCUCUCCUGCUCAGCAACCAUAGUUCACCUCCUUGCUUCACUCCCAUUCCAUUGCUAUUGCCUUGACCCUCCGGUGUAAAAUUAACUCCUGCUUUAAUUCUCAGUCUUUCCUACUCGUUGUCACUGAAGUAACUGUCAGUACUUAAUACAGUGGUCUGUACUGAAGAAGUACUGAACAAAGACUCUGGUGACCACCCCUCCCCCCCACCCCCGAAGCCCUUGGACUUGCCCUGUCCCAAACCUUCCUCACCUACUCUACAUCAUGCUAAGUGUUGUUCUCUGUCACACCUGAGUUCGAAAUAUACAAUGCCUGGCAGUGCACAGGUUAGGGUGGCAUGUCCAAGAAAAAG